rnacentral:tRNA from 2 species
GCGGGAGUAGUUCAGUGGUAGAGCGUCAGCUUCCCAAGCUGAAAGUCGCGGGUUCGAAUCCCGUCUCCCGCUCCA